ACGAAAAAUCUGAGGGGAACUCACUUCAGGUUCACCUCCCGUGACGUCUGGUUCCAGGACCCAAUCACGGCUCCGAUUCUCACCCCUAGCCUUGGAUUUAACCUUUGGUUGUAUUACACUCUUGACAAGAGGUGGUAUAGUCCUUCCUCCCCUUCAGACCCUGCUUGGCUGAGUUCCCCUGGCCUAAAGCCCCAGGGCAGUUGCUCCUGACCCCUCAGGACAUGCAGAUCCAGUGAUGUGCCAAGAGAGGCCUAGGAGAAUUAGCUUGGAUUAGGUCGCCUUUCUAUGUGCAACCUCCUAAUUGAUUUGCAAAUUUAGCAUGGUUCACCUAAUUUGUUUUCUGAGGCCUCAGAUUACAUCCAUAAAUCUCAAAG